GACGAACGCUGGCGGCGUGCUUAACACAUGCAAGUCGAACGGAAAGGCCCUGCUUUUGUGGGGUGCUCGAGUGGCGAACGGGUGAGUAACACGUGAGUAACCUGCCCUUGACUUUGGGAUAACUUCAGGAAACUGGGGCUAAUACCGGAUAGGAGCUCCUGCUGCAUGGUGGGGGUUGGAAAGUUUCGGCGGUUGGGGAUGGACUCGCGGCUUAUCAGCUUGUUGGUGGGGUAGUGGCUUACCAAGGCUUUGACGGGUAGCCGGCCUGAGAGGGUGACCGGCCACAUUGGGACUGAGAUACGGCCCAGACUCCUACGGGAGGCAGCAGUGGGGAAUAUUGCACAAUGGGCGGAAGCCUGAUGCAGCAACGCCGCGUGCGGGAUGACGGCCUUCGGGUUGUAAACCGCUUUCGCCUGUGACGAAGCGUGAGUGACGGUAAUGGGUAAAGAAGCACCGGCUAACUACGUGCCAGCAGCCGCGGUGAUACGUAGGGUGCGAGCGUUGUCCGGAUUUAUUGGGCGUAAAGGGCUCGUAGGUGGUUGAUCGCGUCGGAAGUGUAAUCUUGGGGCUUAACCCUGAGCGUGCUUUCGAUACGGGUUGACUUGAGGAAGGUAGGGGAGAAUGGAAUUCCUGGUGGAGCGGUGGAAUGCGCAGAUAUCAGGAGGAACACCAGUGGCGAAGGCGGUUCUCUGGGCCUUUCCUGACGCUGAGGAGCGAAAGCGUGGGGAGCGAACAGGCUUAGAUACCCUGGUAGUCCACGCUGUAAACGGUGGGUACUAGGUGUGGGGUCCAUUCCACGGGUUCCGUGCCGUAGCUAACGCUUUAAGUACCCCGCCUGGGGAGUACGGCCGCAAGGCUAAAACUCAAAGGAAUUGGCGGGGCCCCGCACAAGCGGCGGAGCAUGCGGAUUAAUUCGAUGCAACGCGUAGAACCUUACCUGGGUUUGACAUGGAUCGGGAGUGCUCAGAGAUGGGUGUGCCUCUUUAUGGGGUCGGUUCACAGGUGGUGCAUGGCUGUCGUCAGCUCGUGUCGUGAGAUGUUGGGUUAAGUCCCGCAACGAGCGCAACCCUUGUUCACUGUUGCCAGCACGUUAUGGUGGGGACUCAGUGGAGACCGCCGGGGUCAACUCGGAGGAAGGUGGGGAUGACGUCAAGUCAUCAUGCCCCUUAUGUCCAGGGCUUCACGCAUGCUACAAUGGCUGGUACAGAGAGUGGCGAGCCUGUGAGGGUGAGCGAAUCUCGGAAAGCCGGUCUCAGUUCGGAUUGGGGUCUGCAACUCGACCUCAUGAAGUCGGAGUCGCUAGUAAUCGCAGAUCAGCAACGCUGCGGUGAAUACGUUCCCGGG
rnacentral:rRNA from 1 species